rfam:Microgenomates (Roizmanbacteria) bacterium GW2011_GWA2_35_8 TR89_C0001, whole genome shotgun sequence.
GGUCCCAUCGUCUAGUGGUUAGGACGGCAGGUUCUCAUCCUGCAAACACCGGUUCGACUCCGGUUGGGAUCA